UACGUAGGUCCAGAGCGUUGUCCGGAUUUAUUGGGCGUAAAGCGAGCGCAGGUGGUUUAUUAAGUCUGGUGUAAAAGGCAGUGGCUCAACCAUUGUAUGCAUUGGAAACUGGUAGACUUGAGUGCAGGAGAGGAGAGUGGAAUUCCAUGUGUAGCGGUGAAAUGCGUAGAUAUAUGGAGGAACACCGGUGGCGGAAGCGGCUCUCUGGCCUGUAACUGACACUGAGGCUCGAAAGCGUGGGGAGCAAACAGG
rnacentral:rRNA from 1 species